AUGGCUGCUGGGAGGGUGAGAGACUCGCAGAGCAUUUAUGAGAAGCACCUGACCCAGCACCUGGUUCUGAGCAGGUGCUCAGAAGGUGGGGGGAGGGUGGCUACCAUUUGUCCCCUUUCAUGGAAAAUGGGGGGAGUCCUUUUCCACGCUCAUCGAAGUCCUUGGAGACUCUGUGGAUUGGCAACUUUUGCAUUCCCCUUUCUUGUUGUUUUUCUGAGCGAGAAGCAGCAAGUCCAACUCCCAGCCCACCUGCCAGCCCGCCUCUGUGCCUGCAGGCUGGAGCCCACGGGGAUGCUGGACAUGUGGCUGGGGGUUGACAGCCGAGUUGGAACAGCAAGGGGCGUCUGCACUCACCGGGGGCCUGCUUUGUCCCAGGGUCAGUGCUGGGCAUUGUGGUGAGAGAGAAGAAGACUGAGCCUACCUUCAAGGAACUCACAGUCCUUGUAGGGGAGACAGACAUAAACACACAGGGAAUGAAGCAAAGUAAGUCCUGGCUAAAGGGGGCAGAUAAUACAUAAGGGCUGUCAGAGUCCCUGGUGGUCCGGGCAGGCUUCAGAGAAGAGGUGGCUUCUGAGAUAGGUUUUGCUGGAUUCUAGAAGUUUUUCCACAUGACCAAGACAGGGAAGGGCAUACCAGGCAGGUGGAACAGCAGGUGCAAAGGCAGAGGCGAGAGGCAGAUUAGCUUGGGCCAGGCACAGGAUGACAGUUGUGCCUCUAGGGAUGCUGGAGAGGGUCAUGGGGAGAAACAAGCAGAGCCUUGAACUCUGCUGAGGACUUCGGCUUGGAGCCAGGGCGACCCAGCGGAGGGGCGGAGCAGACAGAAUGCUUCAAAAGGUGACUCUGGGGAGUGGGGCGGGGACUGGACUAGAGGGGAUCCAGAUGGGUGGGGCUGCAGGGGGAGAAGCUGACCCUGAGCCAGGACCCACGUUUAUCUGGGAGGUGUGGGAGGUGGGGCAGGGAGGGGAAGGAAGCCGCGGAGGUGUGGUAGCCAGCCAGCCACCAGCGCGGGCAAGAGGGGCUUCGUCCCCUCCUGCGGGGGGCUCUGGGAGCCGGGUCGAGCACGCCUCAGAGCUGCGAAGGGGAAGCCAGGGCACCUGAAUGCCGAUGUCCUCACAGAGUGGUUGGUGUCUGCUCCCAGGAGGCACCAGCGUCCCCCUAGGUCUGAGAGAGAGCAGUCUCCAGGGACUGGAGGAAGUCACAGCAGAGGCUCAUGUGCUGGCUCCGGGCCCAGGGCCUGGGUGCCCUGCAAUUGGAAAGCAAGACCCAAGGCCUCUUUCCGGGUAGGAGUGGAGAACAUCUGGCCACCGGGAUUCCAAAAGGCAGUGUGUGGGUGGGACCACAGAACUUGCCUCCCAGCUGGCUACACGCCCUGGGGGAGGACAGACCAGGGCCACCUGGGUCCAGGCUGGUGAGAGAUUCCAGUGAGGGGGAGGGGGGCAGGUGUUGCGGCACAGCAGGCUAAGCCAAAGCCUGCAACACAAGCAUCUCAAAUGAGUGCCGGUAGGAGCCCGGCUGCUUCACUCCCGAUCCAGCUUCCUGUUCGUGCACCUGGGAAGGCAGCGGAAGAUGGCUCAAGUGCUUGGGCCCCUGCCACCCACAUGGGAGACUUUAUGGAGUUCUCAGCUCCUGGUUUUAGCUUGGCCCAGUCCUGGCUGUUGUGGCCUUGAGGGAAAUGAAUGAGCAGAUAGAAGAUUCUCUAAUCCCUCUCCUCUCCCUCUCUCUCACACUGCCUUUCAAAUAAAUAAAUAAAAAUCUUAAAAAAAAAAAUCCCA
rnacentral:lncRNA from 1 species